rnacentral:rRNA from 1 species
UUGGAGGGCAGUCUGGUGCCAGCAGCCGCGGUAAUUCCAGCUCCAAUAGCGUAUAUUAAAGUUGUUGCAGUUAAAAAGCUCGUAGUUGAAUUUCGGGAUUCAUCCGUUGGUCGGGCUUCACGGUCCGUACUGGUGUGAUGGGUUCCUACCUUCUGAAUAACCGGCAUGCCAUUAAUUUGGUGCGCCGGGGAAGCAGAACUAUUACCUUGAAAAAAUUAGAGUGCUUAAAGCAGGCAAGUGCCUGAAUAGGUUAGCAUGGAAUAAUAAAAUAGGACGGCAUGGUUCUAUUUUGUUGGUUUCUAGGAUCACCGUAAUGAUUAAUAGGGAUAGUUGGGGGCAUUAGUAUUCAAUUGUCAGAGGUGAAAUUCUUGGAUUUAUUGAAGACUAACUUCUGCGAAAGCAUUUGCCAAGGAUGUUUUCAUUAAUCAAGAACGAAAGUUAGGGGAUCGAAGACGAUCAGAUACCGUCGUAGUCUUAACCAUAAACUAUGCCGACUAGGGAUCGGACGAUGUUAAUUUUUUAAUGACUCGUUCGGCGCCUUACGGGAAAC